GCCUUCUUAUUCCUCGCACAGACAGUGAGACCCGCCUUUUUGGAGAAUAUCCAUCGCGUUUGUUCCUUCCAAGAUUCCUUUUUCAAAAAUUUCUUCUCUCUUUUUUUAACGCAACUACAACUCUACAAGUAAUAAGCAACUACUGCUAAAUUAAUCAUUCAACAAAUACCCAAGCCAACUAUAUUAGACUGUCCUGCCUUAUCAUGACAACCUCUUUAUCUCUCUCUAUAAAUCCUGCUCUCUCUCCUCCCUUUCUCCCCACCGUCACUUUUCCCUCUCUGUCUUCUUCUUUUAGCUCUUCUUCUUGUUGUUGUUCUGUAUCUUCCUGUCCUUUAAGUUUUUCUUCUUUUAGGACACGACUCCUUACUAUUUCUUGCAAUCGGGAAUCUGGGAAGCUAAAAAGAUACCCUCUUGUUAGAGCUAAAGAUAAUAAUAGUGAUAUGACUAUUAGGGAGGUUAGAGAAGAAGAAGAAGAAGAGGAGGAGAAUCCUCCUCCUUUGCUUGAUGCCGAGACUAAUGCGAGGCCACGGCGCAUUGCUCUCUUUGUUGAACCUUCUCCAUUUGCAUAUGUGUCAGGGUAUAAAAAUCGGUUCCAGAAUUUUAUCAGAUAUUUACGUGAAAUGGGGGAUGAGGUGAUGGUCGUGACAACACAUGAAGGAGUACCUCAGGAGUUUUAUGGAGCAAAAUUGAUUGGAUCACGGAGUUUUCCCUGCCCCUGGUACCAGAAGGUUCCACUUUCUCUGGCACUCAGUCCAAGAAUAAUUUCGGAGGUUGCACGGUUUAAGCCUGAUAUAAUACAUGCAUCUUCACCAGGGAUAAUGGUUUUCGGUGCCCUCAUUAUUGCGAAAUUAUUGUGCGUCCCCAUUGUGAUGUCUUAUCACACCCAUGUCCCUGUAUACAUCCCAAGGUACACUUUUAGCUGGCUGGUGAAACCCAUGUGGUUGAUCAUAAAAUUUCUUCAUAGAGCAGCUGAUCUUACAUUGGUGCCUUCAGCUGCCAUAGGGAGGGAUCUCCAAGCGGCUAGGGUGACAGCAGCUAAUAGGAUUCGCCUUUGGAAUAAGGGUGUUGAUUCUGAAAGUUUCCACCCUCGUUUCCGCUCACAGGAAAUGCGAUGGAGAUUAAGCAAUGGUGAACCUGAGAAACCAUUAAUAGUCCAUGUUGGACGGCUGGGAGUUGAGAAGAGUUUGGAUUUCCUGAAAAGGGUCAUGGAUAGGCUUCCAGACGCAAGAAUUGCCUUUAUUGGAGAUGGGCCAUAUAGAGAGGAGCUGGAAAAGAUGUUCUCUGGCAUGCCUGCGGUGUUUACUGGAAUGUUGGGAGGAGAAGAGCUUUCUCAGGCAUAUGCCAGUGGGGAUGUUUUUGUGAUGCCUUCAGAAUCUGAGACACUCGGUCUUGUUGUUUUGGAGGCAAUGUCUUCAGGAAUUCCUGUUGUGGGAGCCCGCGCUGGAGGAAUUCCUGAUAUAAUUCCUCCUGAACAGGAUGGUAAAAUUGGUUUUCUGUACACUCCAGGAGAUAUUGAUGACUGCUUGGGAAAAUUAGAGUCAUUGUUAAAUAACCAGGAACUAAGAGAAACCAUGGGUAAAGCAGCACGUCAAGAAAUGGAAAAGUAUGACUGGAGGGCAGCCACUAGAAAAAUCCGUAACGAAAAUUACAAUGCUGCGAUUUGGUUCUGGCGAAAGAAGAGAGCACAGCUACUCAGACCUAUUCAGUGGCUGGUAAAGCGGAUUUUCCCGUCUCCAGAAGUUAAUUAUAGGUGACGGAUUUGCUCUGCAAAAAGUGUUAUAUAUAAGGGGGAAAAAAAAAAAAAAAAAAAAAAGGAAAACGAACCUAAAAGGGUUGUGGAUUAUUUAUUGUUUGUGAAUUUGUUCUUUUGCUGUAUAUUUUGGACCAUCAAUUAUGGUCUGGUUUGCAGUUUAAAUGGUUUGGAUAGAUUAGUGUGAUGAUAUCUUUCAAAGAAAAAUAUAGCAUUUAGCCUGUGGUUUUUUU